rnacentral:misc_RNA from 1 species
GCGUAUAACCGUGAGCUUGAAGCCAUUUGCGGUGACAUUAAUUGUUCUUUAACACAUUGGUCAAAGCAUUUUUCGCACAUAUUCGCAACCAUAUAUUACAACUGAGGCGCCAUUGAAAUAUACAUUUAUUCAUUUACUUCGGCGCUUUCCGAAUUUUUACAUCUAUCGAAUACCACCGUACGGAUUUUAACAAUACACAGAAAGGGACGUAACUUCGCCAGCCUGUGAAAGCCCAGCUUGUGAAAACGGUUGCCAAAACACUAAGCAAGGAAGGGCCUGCUAAUGAGCCUAGCUCCCAUGACCCAUGAAGAUCCAAGGGUAGAACAAGUCUUCGGCAACCCAUGCUUGCCGUAAAAAGCAACUUUGCUUGUCGUAAGGGGAAGCAUGUCAAGACUCAUGAUGGAAACAAGGCGUUCAACAGU